GACGAACCGUGCGAACGUUGUUCGGAAUCGCUGGGCUUAAAGGGCGCGUAGGCGGGCUGGCAAGUCCGGGGUGAAAUCCAUCGGCUUAACCGAUGAACGGCCUCGGAUACUGCCGGCCUGGAGGCGGGUAGGGGCGGGCGGAACUCUGGGUGGAGCGGUGAAAUGCGUUGAUAUCCAGAGGAACGCCGGUGGCGAAGGCGGCCCGCUGGACCCGAUCUGACGCUGAGGCGCGAAAGCCAGGGGAGCGAACGGG
rnacentral:rRNA from 1 species